UACGAAGGGGGGCUAGCGUUGUUCGGAAUUACUGGGCGUAAAGCGCACGUAGGCGGAUUGUUAAGUUAGGGGUGAAAUCCCCAGGGCUCAACCCUGGAACUGCCUUUAAUACUGGCAAUCUCGAGUCCGAGAGAGGUGAGUGGAAUUCCGAGUGUAGAGGUGAAAUUCGUAGAUAUCCGGAGGAACACCAGUGGCGAAGGCGGCUCACUGGCUCGGUACUGACGCUGAGGUGCGAAAGCGUGGGGAGCAA
rnacentral:rRNA from 1 species